GUGCUUGCUUCGGCAGCACCUAUCGUAAAACUGAAACAAUACAGAGAUGAUUACGGUGACCCCAGCGCAAGGAUGACAUGCAAAUUCGUGUAGUGUUAAGAAAUGCU